GUGGUCGCUUCAGCAGCACAUAUACUAAAACUAAAGUGAGACAGAGAAGAUUAGGAUGGCCCCUGCAUAAGGAUGACACACAAAUUUGUAAAGCAUUCCAUUUUUUA
ensembl:snRNA U6 U6 spliceosomal RNA